UUGCAACGCGGAAGAACCUUACCUGGUCUUGACAUCCACGGAAGUUUUCAGAGAUGAGAAUGUGCCUUCGGGAACCGUGAGACAGGUGCUGCAUGGCUGUCGUCAGCUCGUGUUGUGAAAUGUUGGGUUAAGUCCCGCAACGAGCGCAACCCUUAUCCUUUGUUGCCAGCGGUCCGGCCGGGAACUCAAAGGAGACUGCCAGUGAUAAACUGGAGGAAGGUGGGGAUGACGUCAAGUCAUCAUGGCCCUUACGACCAGGGCUACACACGUGCUACAAUGGCGCAUACAAAGAGAAGCGACCUCGCGAGAGCAAGCGGACCUCAUAAAGUGCGUCGUAGUCCGGAUUGGAGUCUGCAACUCGACUCCAUGAAGUCGGAAUCGCUAGUAAUCGUGGAUCAGAAUGCCACGGUGAAUACGUUCCCGGGCCUUGUACACACCGCCCGUCACACCAUGGGAGUGGGUUGCAAAAGAAGUAGGUAGCUUAACCUUCGGGAGGGCGCUUACCACUUUGUGAUUCAUGACUGGGGUGAAGUCGUAAAAAGGUAACCCAA
rnacentral:rRNA from 2 species